CCAAACCCAUUUCUGUUUCGUAACUUUCGUUCAUAAAAAAAUAAAAAACAAAAAACGAACCUUGAAAACAAACCUUAGGAUAUGCUUUUUUCGUGGAGAUGAUGAAACAAAGAAAAGAAAAGCAACUAUCCAGAGGACAAAGGCUUUAUCCCCUGGUAGGAUAAUAAGAAACUAAAACCUAGAAAAAUACGUGCAAAAAGUCUCUCUAAUGGCGUUCUCUUAAAACCCAUUCGCUCAAUUUCUGCUCUCACAUCUUCUUUUUCCUCUAUUUGGUAAUCUCACAUAUAUCCAUCAUCAUGAACAAUAUCAACUAAUGUUCCAGUGAACGGGAAUAUCUUUAAUCCCGUUUGAUUAGGGUUUCGUUGUCAUCAUCAUCUCUAUUUUGAUUGAUGUUAUUAGGGUUCACUUUUUUAUUAGGGCUAUACUUGGAUAAAUAAUUUUGUACCACUAAGUUUGCAGGGAGAUUGGAUUAAUCUUCAAGGUACGAUUUUUAUUAAAACGAAUAGUUUUGAUCUAUUCUGCUGGUACGAUUUUUAUUGAAACGGAUACACUACCACAUCUCAUUCUCUUUUGCUGCAAUUUGUUUGGUUUGUUUGUUUAGGAAGGACAUCAGGAACAAACCAGGUCCAACUGAUGGUAUGGGACAUAGCUGUGUCUCUUAUGGAAAACAUGGGGAUUCGUUCCAGCAACAUUUCAUCUUCAAAUGAAGCUUCUUUUUUCAGUGCAGCUGGAUGGGCACAAUGUCAUGUCUCAGUGAAUGCAGAAGUAUAUGGAUGGAAAGAGCAGGUUACUUGAUAAACAGACUUCCUUGGUACUAAACAAGGAGCAUAGUACAUGAAAAUAGUUUUCUCUCUAAUGGAAGGAAUUCAACUUCAGUUGUUAUCGUAUCUGCCUCCUUUAAGGUUAAUCUCGAAUACGUGCUCCUUUAAACACAGUGGUUAUUGUUUUACUUUAUGGGAACGCAUUGUUACACACCUUUUAGAGAUGACAUCAUGGAGUCUCCAACCAAGGUUCAGUCCAGCAUACCUUUUAUUUCCUUGGGAGAGGCGAAGCCAGCCACACCAAAUCAAAUAUGAUGUACGAUGGGGACAGGCGAAGCCACAUUACACCAAAUCAAAAUUAUAGUUAAAAGAAAAAGAUGUCGGUACAUAGCACGAAGAGGAGGUUUAUAUUCUACCAUCGUGCUCCGUCCUAGGCUACUAUGGAUUCUUAUAUUGUGAUUUAUGUUCUUAGUUUGGGUUCUUAUAUAUACUUUUGGUCUUUGUCUAAUCUGAAAUCUUUUACUAUAUAUUUCAUUUCUUUUCUGAUGGCUCGAGAACAUUUCA